GUCUGGAGCCCGAUAGGAUGGCCGCUGCGGACUUGUGUUCAGUGAGGCGUGGUGGUCGUGCCCUUUCGUGUCCUCAGGUGGCUACUGUGACCCUCACCUCUCCUGCAUGCCCGGGUCGGAUCAGUUCCGUCGGAUACGGUGACGUGGAGAGGGCACCUGGUCUCUCCGGCUCGGGUCUUGGUCUAGUGGGUGACACGUUAAUCAGCGUGCAGUUACCGUGGUCCUGAGGGAUGAAGGCCAAGGAACUUGGCGUAGACUGGAAGGCUUCCUGGAGGAGGUGACAGCCCCAGCGUAAUAUAGGGGAAAGGGGAAACUGGAGACAGACAAGCACACAGGGAGAACGAUGUGAACACAGAUGGCCAUUUGCAAGCUCAGGAGAGCGGCCUGGAACAGACUCACUCCCUCAAUGGCUCUCGGGGGAAGCAGCCUCUGACACCAUGAUCUUGGACUUCUGGAUUCCAGAACAGUGGGGAGAUAAAUUUGUGUUGUUUAAGCCGCCAGGUUUAUGGUUCCUGGAAUAGGCGCUAGAGGGGGCUGCAAGCCAGACGUGCCGACAGGCCACUCACGGAGUACACGAUCACUGCCUCGGCAUCUGUUCUGUGUGGCCCGCAGCCUGCGGGGCCUUGAACCGACAGGAGCCCUCCCUCGAGUGCGUGCCCUAGAUGACAGCCCGCAGAGUCACCAGUAAACCGAAGUUCCUGAUGUGACCCCCCCAACACCCUUGUGAUAACCUCUCUCCUGUGGGCCCCGUAGAUUAAACCCCUGUGAAGCUCACGAAAACCCUGCUCCCUCUGGUUUGAACUGACCUAUCCAACCUUAGCCCAGGAACCCCAAAGCACAGCCCUGUGGACCUAAUACAGGUGUGUGCCCCGGGUCCUGACUCCUGGGCAUUGUGCCUGUACCUCUUCCAGGAACUGUGAGUCAUAAGCUUCUCUGUUCCGCUAUUUCUUGAGGUCUUUGUUGAACCACCAGGCAGCCCGGCCACAUGCCUUCUGACACUGCAGGCAGCACCCACAGGGAUGGAGUGACAGCCGGGGCAGCACCGGGAGAAUGGAGCAGAUAGGAAGGGCAUUGCAAGGGCUGGGGAAAUAAAAUUAUCAUUGGAACCACAGGCCAUAAAAGUAGGCUGGAAUUUACACACUAAACCUAAAUGGGGCAACUUUCUGCUGAAAUAGAAGAUUAAUUUUUUUUUUGA